rnacentral:rRNA from 1 species
AUUGAACGCUGGCGGAAUGCUUUACACAUGCAAGUCGAACGAUGAAGUCUAGCUUGCUAGACGGAUUAGUGGCGAACGGGUGAGUAAUAUAUCGGAACGUAUCCAUUAAUGGGGGAUAACUAGUCGAAAGAUUGGCUAAUACCGCAUACGUCCUACGGGAGAAAGCUAGGGACCUUCGGGCCUGGCGUUAAUGGAGCGGCCGAUAUCUGAUUAGCUAGUUGGUGUGGGAAAGGCUCACCAAGGCGACGAUCAGUAGCUGGUCUGAGAGGACGACCAGCCACGCUGGAACUGAGACACGGUCCAGACUCCUACGGGAGGCAGCAGUGGGGAAUUUUGGACAAUGGGCGCAAGCCUGAUCCAGCCAUUCCGCGUGAGUGAAGAAGGCCUUCGGGUUGUAAAGCUCUUUCGCAAGGGAAGAAAACUUACCCUCUAACAUAGGGUGAGGAUGACGGUACCUUGAUAAGAAGCACCGGCUAACUACGUGCCAGCCGCCGCAGUAAUA